AGUGGAUGACAGUCGCGUCAAGAAUUUAUUUCAAACAUGUUGGUUUCACUCGUUUGUCAAAAAGGACCGCGAAAGCGUGCCGGUGGAUUCUGCCAUCUGUCCAUUACCGAGUUACGCACCACGAGCCCAGACCCGCCUAGAAAAACACCUCAAAUAUUAGCGUCAAGGCUUAUUAGCACAGCAAAUCUCGAUAUGCCCGUCUAAUCGAUCGUCAUUCGGAAACUACAAGAGUGUGGCGUCAUUUCGGCUCCCUUGUCGUUGCAACAGAGCUGCGGAGACUGCCGCCAUGCUGACCAAUAGCGAUGAGGGAGCAGGGUCACAUGAUCAACCAGCAACUGACUGUGCUGCCCUGGGAGAUGGUGUUUGUCCUCCUGAACAGCAGGAGGCUGUAGAACGUCACGAUGCCAACACAACUUCCCAGCUCAAGAGCGCGUGUUCCCUGGAGGUGACCAUCCAGCAGUACGGCGACAGUCGCGCGUUCAAGAUGGCCGGGGAGAAGCACCAGGAGAAGGCGCCAGGGCUUCAUUGCCACAUGUGUGGGGUCACGUGUCACUCCAUGCAGAUGUUUGUGGAACACAUGGGCGGCUCGGAUCACAUGGCCAAAUGGAAGGAGAUCACACACUCCGUCAGCAUCAUCACACACACAAUCACAAACAGCAGAAGGCGCCGCUGGUGUGACACGUGUCAGAGUCACUUUAGCGAUGACGUCAUCAGCCAUCGUCGAACUAAACAACACAAAGAGCGCAAGCGUGCAUCGCGGCCAUUCUGCGCGGCAUGCCGCCGUCACUUGAAGACUCCCCGGAAAUUUGUGGAGCACAUGAAGUCCGACAAGCACAAGCGAGAGGUCAGAGGUCGUCCGUCCGUCCGUCUGUCUGGUCGCCUGCGUGACGCCCGCGCGACCAGUGAGUGUGCGCCUGUUUCGGCAGGUGUGCGUGAAGAAGGCUCAGGAGGAGGAGCUCAUCACCGUGGACGCCAUUGGCUGUUUUGAGGAGGAGGCGGAGCCAAACCAGGAAGUGGAAUUAGGACCGGAGGAAGAGAAGGCAGCCGCUUGACAGGCGUCCCUGUGCGCACGAGUGACGUGUGAGUGACGGGCAGACUCCUCCCGUCCCGGACGCCCCGCGUGGCCGAUCAAGCGCCCCUUCCCUGGCUAACCUGCAAUUAGCAGCAAUUAGCGCACGGCGCUGCCAUGACGACAAUCAGCAAGUGGAAGAGGAAGACUUUCUGUUUGCUGUCAUCGCUUCCGGUGUGAGUAACAAGUCACUUAUACUGCCUGCAGCCUGCUGCUGCUCCAAAGCAUACCACAUCAUGCGCGUGGCCACCUGAAGAGCAAAUGUCUUAUUGCCGAUUAGCUGGUCGCACGCACGUAGGGGCUGGUGGAUGGUUGGCCCGGUGGGCGGUUGCAGCUAAUGCAGCAAGUAGGGUGCGUGUAUCAAUCACGGUGGGGGAUGGGGGGGGGGGGCACUGCUGAGCUCAAUUGCCGCUAGUUCGCCUGCCUGUCAAACGUGUCUUGUUUGUAUUUUUAAGUAGUAGACACGAGCUUAGUGCGCUCCUGAGCCGCCACAGACCGUUAUGAAUUCUCCCUAUUUUGUUAGGGAAAUCACCGAAUGCUAACUCGUUAAGGCCAUAGUACUGAUUAAGGACUUUUUCAAAAAUCUCAGGUCUCAUACUGAAGUCGCACAAAAAGUUUCAAAAUAAGAAAAAGAAUUAGUUCAUCCAUAAAUGCCUUUUUGUGUUUGACGACAAGCCAAUGGCAGACGCGGCGUCGUUCCGCCGGUCACCUCCAGUGACGUAGCGCUGUCGCAUUUGCUGCGGAAGCUAGCAGACGACGUUAGCCGAAAGCUAACAAUUUGAGGCUAACCUGUUUCGCAGCGACCCUUCAUGGAUUCGUAUCAGCGACGAGCAAUGAGGGCAGCAACACCAUGUAGAGCUUCGUCGCCAGAUGAUUGUUCACUACUGCUCAGAAAACUAGUGUGUGUGCAUGUGUGUGUGUGUGUGUGUGUGUGUGCGGGCGUGUGCGUACACAAGGGGGUUCAAAACUAGGUACAGUAUACUGUUUCUACAAUCAUAAAAAAAAACAUAUACGACCGUAUUCCUAAUUUUGCACCCAGUAAUACACUGUACUUGUAUAUUCAUAUAUACUGUAUGUAUACUGUGUAUGUAUGUAUACAGUAAUCCCUCGUUUAUCAUGGUUAAUGGGGACCAAAAUCACCCACAGUAAACGAAAAUCCGCGAAGUAGCAUGCAAUUAACAUAAACGGGUAAAAAAAAUUAUAUAUAUUUUUUAAAGUCCGCAAACGGUCCGCGAGAAGCUGCAAAACAACAGCGAGUCACAUAGAACAACGUAUACAGUACUGUAUUCCAUGUACAGUAUACAGUAUGUAAAAAAUGUAUGUUUGAAAAAAUCCACGAUGCACUAAACGAACCGUGAAGUAGCGAGGGAUCACUGUACAUGCAUAUGAAGAUGUUUUUGUGAAAAGAAAAAACAUUUUUUGAAUUCAUAUGAGACGCGCGGUCGUUUACGAUUGCCCGUCGUGUAUGCAGUCAUUAAAAAAAAAAAUAGAAUCUAGUUUGCAUUCAAAUCCAAUCUUUUCACCCGCCCCAUUAUCAUUCAUGUCGAGACUUGAGUUCUUUUGUUUUUGAUUUCUUUGGCCGGCCGUGAAGAACUUUUUUUUCAAUCCAAGUCUGCAAAUUGACUUAAUUAAACGGCGCGCUAAUGAA